UCUUGUACUGUUUGACAAAUGUCAAGGAAUAUAGACAUUUCUUUUUGACAGAUAAAACGCUUAAUUUGUGGUAUUUGCUCGAAUUUAUAGCGUUAAAUUCGCAAAGAACGCGCUCAUUUUGUGCUUAAUUUACGUGAAAAGUGUAGAAAAUCGAGUAGCGUAUAUUAACGCUGCUAUUUAAAUAAAAUUUUUGCAUUUUCUGUAGUAAUUACUGCAUGCGGCGACUGCGGACUUCAACGAAGGCGCAGACGGCUGGGGCAGCGACGGCGACAACGACGACGACGAAAGGUGGUGUUGCCAGCAAUAGUAGCUGUGGUGGUGCAUCAACAGUGUCAACCGGAAUAACGCCGCAUGCGGAUUGUAAAACAACAAGCCACAAUAGCAGUUUCAGUGGAAGUGGUGGUAGCAAUAAUUUGACAACAAGCAACAGCAGCAGUGGUGCUACAGCAGCCAUCACAACCGCCGUUGUAACAGCAAAAGCAGGUGCGGGACGUCAGAAACACAACAGCAUGGACGUUAAGCUGAGUGGGGAUGUAUUUAAGAACUUUGAAAAGACUGGAAAGAGUGAAUUUUUGAAGUUCUUAAAACAACAAGUGAAGGAAAAUGAUAAUCCGAUUUUUGGCAAAAAUGACGAAUUUAAAUUCGGAAUCUCCAGGGCAAUAUACGAUCUGCUAUGGCAUGGACUACGUUGCACGUUGAAAAAAGAUACAGUGCUAAAUACUUUAGCCGAUGUUGUGACGUUGCAUACUGAUUUUCCAUCGGUUAUACUGGACAUUGUAAAUAUAUUGGAUGCAGAGACUUCUCUAAUGACUGAUGGCAUACAAGAAGAGCGGCUCAUGUUUAGUCAGAUUAUUAAAGAUCUCGACAAGGUAAUCUCGGAUAAGCUAAUAAAAGAGCGUUUGGAAAUCGAUACGCUGCAAGAUGUAGGCAUUGUAAAGAACAAGGUGUUCUACACCAAAUUUAUUAAGAUAAAAACAAAGCUUUAUUACAAACAGCGUCGCUUUAAUCUUUUUCGGGAGGAGAGCGAAGGCUAUGCCAAGCUAAUCACCGAACUAAAUCAAGAUUUUGAGGAGGGUGUGACUGCCACAAGCAUAAUGGAUAUCAUAAAAUCGCUUAUAGGCUGUUUCAAUUUGGACCCCAAUCGCGUACUUGAUAUAAUUAUUGAAUCAUUUGAAACACGUCCCGAGCGGCGGCAUCUUUUCAUACCGUUGUUACGCGCGUACAUGCCAAAUGGUUCAAUUAUAUGUGAAGUACUCGGUUAUAAAUUUCGCUACUUUGCCGACACAAGAACGCCACGUUCACUUUUCCAUGUUUGUUCACUGCUUCUGAAAUAUGGCGUAAUCGAACUACAUGAUAUAUACCAAUGGCUUGCGCCAGUUGAUAAAAAUAUUACAAGCGAAUGGGAAAACGAUCUAGCGGAGGCGAAAGAAUUUGUGCGCAAACUAAAUAUAAUAGUAACAAAUAAAGAUAAAGAACAUGUGGAGCCAGAAAUGGAGAAACCUUACGAUGAAGAAAAGUACUAUGCCAACCAGAAAUUCGGUUUGUGUGAGGGUCUGCUCAAAGUUGGUGACUGGGAAAAUGCUUAUAAAAUUAUCAAAAAACUACCGGAGCAAUCCGUUGCUGUGCAUGAGUCCAUUGCACGUGCGCUCGCCGAACUAAUUCACAUUUCUAUCGAUUAUGUGUAUACGGAAAAAUGUUUUAAAGCGAAUUCACGCCGUUCGAAAUUGACUGAUGAUAAGAAAUUGCUGCAGAAAUUGCAAGCUCGUGAAUUUUCUGAACUUCGCAACUAUACCAUACCGAUGGUGAUAGCUCUCGGUCCUGCUUUGCAUUUUGACACAGUGCUCAUGUAUAAACUUAUACGUAUAUUGCGCACAAUAAUGACCGAUAUGGGUGUGGAUAGUCUGAAUGCGCCCACACCAAACACCGAAUCAGAAACAUUGUACUUCGAGGUGAUGACUGUUAUGGACGCAGCAAUAUUACCGGCACUUUCCUACCUAGACUGCAAUUGCCCUAUGGCUGAAGAGAUUUGGACUGUAUUAAAAUUCUUUCCGUACCAUUUUCGUUAUAGUUUGUAUGCGCGUUGGAAGAACGACACAUACCUGGUGCAUCCUGUGCUAAUACGACGACGUGGUUUGGCACACAAAAAUAUCAAGGCUUUAAUGAAGCGCGUCAGUAAGGAGAAUGUGAAGCCGGUGGGGCGUCUUAUCGGCAAGUUGAGCCAUUGCGCACCUGGCUUUCUCUUCGAUUAUAUCCUACUACAAAUUCAAAUAUACGAUAAUCUAAUUGGGCCUGUAGUCGAUUCAUUGAAAUAUCUCACAUCGUUAUCGUUCGACUGUUUGGGCUAUUGUCUCAUUGAAGCGCUAGCAAAGGCGGAUAGGGAUCGCUUUAAGCAUGACGGUACCUCGAUUUCACUGUGGCUACAAAGUUUAGCCUCUUUCUGUGGUGCGAUAUUCAAAAAGUAUAACAUCGAGCUUAGUGGCUUGCUACAAUAUGUUGCCAAUCAACUAAAGUCGCAAAAGAGCUUGGAUCUGUUAAUUCUAAAGGAAAUUGUGCAAAAAAUGGCUGGCGUAGAAUCCGCCGAAGAAAUGACAAAUGAGCAUUUAAAUGCCAUGUGCGGUGGUGAAUUGCUGCGUGGUGAGGCCGGCUACUUCAGUCAGGUGCGUAACACGAAGAAGUCUUCACAACGUUUGAAGGAUGCACUCGCCAAUAAUGAUUUGGCUGUUGCCAUAUGCUUGCUCAUGGCUCAACAAAAACACUGUGUCAUCUAUCGUGAGACUGCGCAAAGUCAUCUUAAGCUUGUUGGCAAAUUGUACGAUCAAUGUCAAGAUACCUUGGUGCAAUUUGGCACAUUUCUUGGCUCUACAUACUCGGUGGAUGAAUAUGUCGAACGUUUGCCAUCUAUCAUCGCCAUGUUGCAGGAAUAUCACAUCAAUGCCGAUGUGGCGUUCUUCUUGGCACGUCCAAUGUUCACACAUCAAAUCAAUCAAAAGUACGAUCAGUUGCGCAAGGCGGACCCCAAUGCAAAAAAGUUGACGACCAAUCAAAAAUUGCAAAAAUAUCUAGAAGCCACCAAUUUAAUUAUGAACCCUAUUGUUGAGUCUGUGCGUCCGCUACAUGGUCCCAAAGUUUGGGAGGAUAUUAGUCCACAGUUUUUGGUGACUUUCUGGUCGCUUAGUAUGUACGAUUUGCAAGUACCCGCCGAGAGUUAUCAGAAGGAAAUUUCUAAAUUGAAACAAUUGUCACAGCAGGCAGCAGAAUCCAAAGAUUCGAAUGCCUCUAAGAACAAGAAAGAGCAGGAGCGCUACAUUGCUCUAAUGGAUAAGCUACAAGAUGAACGUAAAAAACAGCAGGAACAUGUCGAUAAAAUUCUACAACGCUUACAACAACAAAAGGACAAUUGGUUCCUUUCGCGUUCGGCAAAAUCGGCAAAAAAUGAGACUAUUACACAAUUUCUACAGCUGUGCCUGUUUCCAAGAUGCACCUUCACUGCCCUCGAUGCGCUUUACUGUGCGAAAUUCGUGCACACCAUACACAACCUGAAGGCUGCCAAUUUCUCCACACUACUUUGUUAUGAUCGGAUAUUCUGCGACAUCACCUACUCGGUCACAUCGUGCACCGAAAACGAGGCCACACGUUAUGGUCGUUUUCUUUGCGCCAUGUUGGAGACGGUAAUGCGUUGGCAUGCCGAUCAAGCGGUCUUCAAUAAAGAAUGCGCCAACUACCCCGGUUUUGUUACGAAAUUCCGUGUAAGCAAUCAAUUCUCCGAAGCGAACGAUCAUGUCGGCUAUGAAAAUUAUCGUCAUGUCUGUCAUAAGUGGCAUUAUAAAAUCACCAAAGCCAUUGUAUUCUGUUUGGACUCUAAAGACUAUAUGCAAAUACGCAAUGCGCUCAUCAUACUCAUGCGUAUACUACCACAUUAUCCUGUGCUCGCGAAAUUGGCGCAAAUUAUCGAAAGGAAAGUAGAGAAAGUGCGUGAGGAGGAGAAGAAUAAACGUCCCGAUUUGUUUGUCAUUGCCUCCAGCUACAUUGGACAGCUGAAAACAAAAGCCGCGCAGAUGAUUAAAGAGAGCGAUUUCCAUCAAGUGACUGAGCGGCAGAUGCGCGUUGAAUCGGCAACGGCAGCGGCCACGGCUGCAGCGAACGCCGCCGCUAUUGCACCAACGGCGAGUGGGGCCACACUAGCUAGUGUGACGGUGUUGGCAGCAAGCAAUGGCGGCAGCGUUAAUGCAAAUGUCAUUAACUUGGUCGAUGCAGCGGCUAAAGCUGCGCAACUAACGGUGCAACAGACAAGCGCUGCGCAGCACGAAGCUACGUCCGUCGUGGCAAGACAAGUGAGCAACGGUGAUGUGAAGAGUGCUGAAAAACGCGAGAAGGAAAAGGUAGUGAAGCAGAUCAUUAAAAUGGAACGUGAACCAAUAACAAGCCCUGCUUCAAAUAACACAGUUAAUGAGCUGGAUACGCGUUCCACAACGAUUUUGUUAAAUGAACGCAAUGAGCACGGCGAACGCCGCAGCAGCAGUCGCACCUUGAAGGAUGUGAAGAAGGAAGAACGCACGCGAGAGCGUGAACGCGAACAACGAGAAAGAGAACGUGAAAUACAAAGAGAACGCGAAAAGGAACGCGAACAGCGCGAAAGGGAACGUGAAAAAGAGCGUGAACAAAGAGAAAGGGAGCGUGAGUUGCGAGAUUUGCGUGAACGCGAGCGUGAGCGUGAACAUCGCAGUCAUAACGAUGAAAUCGAUUUAGCUGGUGGCGGUGUUGGUGGUGGUGCCACCAUUGGUAGCAGUUCAACCGUUGGUAGUACUAUGAUUUCCACACGUUCCAAACGCGACAAGCGACGCGGCGAAGAGCGUUAUCGGCUAGAGUCGCCGGCCUUGGAGCAUAUUGAAGUGCUGGAGGGUAAGCAUGAGCAUCACGAGUAUGAACGUGAACGGGAUAGAGAACGUGAGCGAGAGCGUGCCAGGGACUUAAGUUCAGUUUCGAAUGAAAGCAAUGGUUCUUCGAUGCAUCGACGCAGUCAGGAUAUUAUUGAAUAUGAUAAAGAUACCAAACGCCGCAAAGUGGAAGCCACGACGACCUCUUCGUCCAACUCAAAGGUUAGUAUUUUGAUGCAAACGUAGUUGCUAAGACAGAGAGGCGGCCUUUUUGUGGAGUGCAGCAGAUGUGACAAUGCCCAGCCAUUUGACACUACAGUUAUAAAUAAAAAUUUAAGCCAAAACAAAACAACAAAUCGCAACUUAAACAACCACUGUGUAAUGCUAACAUUUUUAUCAACUAUAACAACAACAACAACAACAACAGCAAUAUUUUUGAACUGCUGCCAGUAGGGAAAGAAGUGAAAAAGGCGAAAAGGUGUUAACAAAAAAGUAAACAAGCAUUUCAACGAAACUUAAAACAAUAAAAAAAAAUAAUACAACAAAAAAACUGUCAAUGAAUUCAACAGCGUCAGCAAAAGAUGUACGAUUAAAUCGACGAAACUCUUUUGACAUCUUUUAUAACAUUGCAACAACAACUUAAAGUGAUACACCAUUCUAUUUUUAGUAAGAAACACCACCGCGUACAUAUACACACCAGCGUGUCAAACACGCUGCGUCAAAACAAAGUUUACCAAAAUGACUGUACUUAUUUGUAUGAAAACGAAAAGUUAAUUAAUUGCAUUUAAAUUGCUGCACAGAAGUAUGUUGAUGUUUUUUUUUUUUAAAUAAGUAGCACGAAUUUAAUAUGUAAAGAAGAAGCAGAAAAACUAUAAACUCAUAUAAAUUGAAAUAUUAAAAAAUUUGAAAUGAAUGCAAUUUUUGAAGAAAAAAAUUAAAAAAAAUUAAUGUUAGAAUUAAAUAUUUUUUUUUUAUAUACAAGAAAUGCACUCGAAUGUGAUUAAAAAUACCUGUAUUUGAGCAAAAAAUAUAAAAACUGGUCAAAUUUGUACUUAAGCACUUAAGCAUAAGCUUUAGCUGUUAAGUUUAGGUAAUUGUUAAAUAUUAUGUAAAUAUAUGUAUGUGUGUGUCAGAUAAGAACAAUGAGCAACUCUACCUAAAACAACAGUGGGCUAUUUGAAGGAAGAGCAACUAAACGGAACACAAUUUAAACGCUAAGCAAAUGAUAUGCGUGGGACCACAACAGUGCUUCACUUAAUUAUCUAAGAUUCUAUAUACUUGGAGCUCACCUGGAACCAUUUUAUGUCAGCGGAAGAUCAUCAUCAGAGCAGUUUACAAGCUAGCAGAGAAGAAAAUACAUCAAAUACGACGCAUUUUAGAGCUUGAAUGACAACCGAUGCGGCAAUUAUGAAGCAUAAUUUCAGCCUUCGUGACUAUUUUGCAUACUGGAUAUGCUGAAAGGAACAUCCAGAACACUAAUUCCUACUUUGAAGAAGACAUACCUUGAUAAUCAACUAGACCCUGAUGAUAAAAACUGCAAGAAUUAAUCAUUAAUCAGCAAUUGGAGACAGCUAGACAACGAGGGAGCAACAAACAACAGUUAUCCAGAACAGCUUCGUUUUAAAACCCGCAAGAUGAGUAGAUAAUCAACGCUAAACAAUGUUUCAAAUCUAUCUAAUGGAGACAGUGAACGAGAGAGGAUGAACGAUCGUGGACAAUUCCUCCCGGGUCCGGAGCUCUCAAGGAGGUUCGGUGCUCUGCAAUAAUUUAUAUUGUAGUCUUACAAAUUAAUGGAUUAGUGGGCCCGUAACUACUUCUCGGUCCCCGAUUUUCGCUUUAAAGCCUUGAAUUGAGAAGAAACCCUGUACAUAUCCAAAGCAACAACUAUCGAUUACUAUUUUAUAAGCGAGCAUGCUCGGAGACAUUCUUUACAUCAGAUGAGCGAAACAACGAACAUCAACAUAUCUCUUCUUGGAUCACAAAAGCAAGAUUUUAUUUUCACAACGCGCCUGCAAUUCGCGCUUGUUUUAAAGUCUAAAUUAGAAAAUAGAUAUAGAAGAUCAACAACUGAAGCUCAACAUAUUUCUACCACAACUGGCAGUUCACGGUUUAUCCCGGCCAAUUGGAGAGAAGACUCUGGCAACUUGACUCACAUGCGAGAUAGAUAUGCCUCUUCGAUAGACGUCAAUAUAAGCAAUGUUUACCAGAGUGACCAGCGAUUGGGAAUGCCAAUUUCGGGAUAGAUUGCUGAUUUCCAUACAACAAGAACUACAUUCAUUAUGGAACUUCACAUAAAUUUGAAGAAUCUCACUACGUACCAACAAGUAAUAAAGUGUACCACCUCUAGUACAUCAACACAGCCUAACGGUUAAAACUUGAGAACUACCGCAACGUUAUUUUUCUGCUUUCUCAGUGCAUGGAAUGUUCUGUUAAGUCUUUGCCAUCUGUAAAGUGGACCGAAAUUUCAAGAUGCAACAAUUCUUUGAAGACUAGAAGACGAUUUUCUACUUUUGUGCCUCCAACAUGUCUGCUUUAAUGUUUGUACGCCAAUAGUAUGUUCGUUGAGACAACCAUCAACUACGCCACAGCAGCCGAAUUAAAAUUCAUUAAAAAAUAAGUACACCUUAGCAAACAAAAAACAUCUUCAAAGAGUAUGGGUCGUCUAAACAACAAAACAAAAACAACCUCCUAUCAAAUAAUAAAUCCGUCGUGCGUUUUAUGGAACUGAGAUACCGUGAAAGUUCGAUGCAAAUCACUCGGUCACUGUUGAGCAUAACCCAAGUAUCAUCAAAUAUAUUCUAAACAUUUCGAAGUGUCUUUCUCUCCGCUGCCUGCAUACGUAAUUCUUCUUGCGCAGUUUUGUUGUUAGUCGUUGGUUAUAAGCGAGCUGCGGUGAUCGAAUGGUCGAAGCAGAUUACAGAAGAUUUGAUUGAGAGUACAAAGAAAGAACGCGCCAUAAAGAAUAAAGAACGUAAGGAAAAGCUAACCGAGGAGGAGAAAGAUGCACGCAAAGAACGCAAAUUGGGACGUAAACGUGAGCGACUCGAGGAGAAUUCCAAUGCAGAGCAUAAGCGGCGAAGAGAAGUGCAAAACGGCGAUGAUGAUUUGCGCGAGCGUGAUAAAUAUCAUACAAGGGAAAAGUCACCACACUUGCGCAGCGAAACACGUGAACGUUCGCACGAGAAAUUCGAACGCGAUCGCAGCACACGUGAGGAGCGCUUAUACACUUCGAAGUCUACACGCUCGCGCAUUGGCUAUUAGUGUGCAGACGGAACACGAGUUUUACAAAUAUUUGUUUUUAGAUUUAAAAUUGACAACAACUACCGCAUUAGAUACAGCAACCAAUUCAAUUAGUACUCUAAAUAUCCAUUUUAAUUUUAUAAGAGCGCCAAAAAGAAAAAAAAAACGAAAAAAUAACACAGCAACAAAAGCAACUCCAACUCAACCACAGCGAACAUUUCAUUUAAUUAUAAAAUAAUAUUAUACUACAAUCUCUUUUAAGUUUUAAGUAAACUUUGUAUGUAUUCAUGUAGUUUGACAUUCAAGCUCGCAGCAAUUUCAACAGCAAAUAAUAAAAGCCACCUAUUCAGUUAAUAAAUAGUCCACUGUUGUAA